rnacentral:rRNA from 1 species
CAAGUCGACGGAAAGGCCUGCAGCUUGCUGCGGGUACUCGAGUGGCGAACGGGUGAGUAACACGUGGGUGAUCUGCCUUGCACUUCGGGAUAAGCUUGGGAAACUGGGUCUAAUACCGGAUAGGACAGCUGUUUAGUGUCAGUUGUGGAAAGUUUUUUCGGUGCAAGAUGAGCUUGCGGCCUAUCAGCUUGUUGGUGGGGUAAUGGCCUACCAAGGCGUCGACGGGUAGCCGGCCUGAGAGGGUGUACGGCCACAUUGGGACUGAGAUACGGCCCAGACUCCUACGGGAGGCAGCAGUGGGGAAUAUUGCACGAUGGGCGGAAGCCUGAUGCAGCGACGCCGCGUGGGGGAUGAAGGCCUUCGGGUUGUAAACUCCUUUCGACAGGGACGAAGCGUAAGUGACGGUACCUGUAUAAGAAGCACCGGCUAACUACGUGCCAGCAGCCGCGGUAAUACGUAGGGUGCGAGCGUUGUCCGGAAUUACUGGGCGUAAAGAGCUCGUAGGUGGUUUGUCGCGUCGUCUGUGAAAUUCCGGGGCUUAACUCCGGGCGUGCAGGCGAUACGGGCUGACUUGAGUGCUGUAGGGGAGACUGGAAUUCCUGAUGUAGCGGUGAAAUGCGCAGAUAUCAGGAGGAACACCGAUGGCGAAGGCAGGUCUCUGGGCAGUAACUGACGCUGAGGAGCGAAAGCAUGGGUAGCGAACAGGAUUAGAUACCCUGGUAGUCCAUGCCGUAAACGGUGGGCGCUAGGUGUAGGGGGCUUCCACGUCUUCUGUGCCGUAGCUAACGCAUUAAGCGCCCCGCCUGGGGAGUACGCCGCAAGGCUA